AAGGACUGGCGUAAGGCUGCCGAUCGGCAGGAGCACCGUGGAGGAAACUUGUUUGUUCAACCCUUGCCGUUCGGCAAGGAUGCCUUGAGCAAAUUGUACCUCACCUUUUUUGAGCUCGUUCCAAGUCUUGAGCUGAUACCGUCCGUUUUGUUGUAUAACGUGGAUAAAUUUCAAGCCACAUUCUCUGCUGUUGUUGCCGUUCGGCAAGGAGAUUCGGAGGGUGUUUUGCUUCAAUAAGAGAUGUCGAUGCGGAAGCAGAGCAGUUGGUGAUGCCUGAGUAGGUGCCAACACGGAAGCGCCAUGGGUGUCUUGAUAAGAUCUUCGUCAUGGGUGCCGUUUGGUAUAUUGGAACCCUUCGGAAUCAGCAAUGUCGUUCAUGGUGCGACGAAGAACUAGCAAGAUGAAAGGUCCUGGAGCUCGUGAUUGGGCUAAACGAUGAUGCAUUGUGAGGCAUCAACACUUGUGCUGGCUUUCUCUUCAUCCCAUGUGUGGUUUGCUUCUCCCAUAUUUUCAUCUUUUGAACCGUGUGUCAUAGGUCCCACCUUUUAUUGUAGAAGCUGGAAUGUAUUGGUAGUGAGAGUCUUAAGGCUGCUUUGUGAUUGUUGUGAUUCUUGUCGUCCGAUAAGAACAUGUGUGGUCUCUGAUAGCCACCGAUUUAAAGGUGGGUGUGUUGAGUAUUUAUUGGCAUGGGUGCCGAACGGUAGCUUAUGAAAAAUAAGUAAGGUGGAGGUUUGGAAAUA